UACAGAGGGUGCGAGCGUUAAUCGGAAUUACUGGGCGUAAAGCGCGCGUAGGCGGCUUUGCAAGUCGGGUGUGAAAUCCCCAGGCUCAACCUGGGAACUGCAUUCGAGACUGCAUUGCUAGAGUAUGGGAGAGGGAAGUGGAAUUUCCGGUGUAGCGGUGAAAUGCGUAGAUAUCGGAAGGAACAUCAGUGGCGAAAGCGACUUCCUGGACCAAUACUGCGCUCAUGUGCGAAAGCGUGGGGAGCAAACAGG
rnacentral:rRNA from 1 species